GCCAGACUCCUACGGGAGGCAGCAGUGGGGGAUAUUGCACAAUGGGGGGAACCCUGAUGCAGCGACGCCGCGUGGGUGAAGGAGCGUUUCGGCGCGUAAAGCCCUAUCGGCAGGGAAGAAGGAGGACGGUACCUGACUAAGAAGCCCCGGCUAACUACGUGCCAGCAGCCGCGGUAAUACGUAGGGGGCAAGCGUUAUCCGGAUUUACUGGGUGUAAAGGGGGCGCAGACGGCAGCGCAAGCCAGGGGUGAAAGCCCGGGGCCCAACCCCGGGACUGCUCUUGGAACUGCGCGGCUGGAGUGCAGGAGGGGCAGGCGGAAUUCCUGGUGUAGCGGUGAAAUGCGUAGAUAUCAGGAGGAACCCCGGUGGCGAAGGCGGCCUGCUGGACUGCGACUGACGUUGAGGCCCGAAAGCGUGGGGAGCAAACAGGAUUAGAUCCCCCUGUA
rnacentral:rRNA from 1 species